UACAGAGGUCCCAAGCGUUGUUCGGAUUCAUUGGGCGUAAAGGGUGCGUAGGCGGCGCGGUAAGUCGGGUGUGAAAUUUCGGAGCUUAACUCCGAAACUGCAUUCGAUACUGCCGUGCUUGAGGACUGGAGAGGAGACUGGAAUUUACGGUGUAGCGGUGAAAUGCGUAGAUAUCGUAAGGAAGACCAGUGGCGAAGGCGGGUCUCUGGACAGUUCCUGACGCUGAGGCACGAAGGCCAGGGGAGCAAACGGG
rnacentral:rRNA from 1 species